rnacentral:rRNA from 1 species
UGACUGGGGCGGUCGCCUCCCAAAGAGUAACGGAGGCGCACGAUGGUAGGCUCAAGCUGGUCGGACAUCAGCUGUUGAGUGCAAUGGCAUAAGCCUGCCUGACUGCGAGGCCGACGGGCCGAGCAGAGACGAAAGUCGGUCAUAGUGAUCCGGUGGUCCCGCGUGGAAGGGCCAUCGCUCAACGGAUAAAAGGUACGCCGGGGAUAACAGGCUGAUACUGCCCAAGAGU